rnacentral:rRNA from 1 species
AGAGUUUGAUCCUGGCUCAGAUUGAACGCUGGCGGAACGCUUUACACAUGCAAGUCGAACGGUAACGCAGGGAGAAGCUUGCUUCUCCCCGGCGACGAGUGGCGAACGGGUGAGUAAUACAUCGGAACGUGUCCGCUCGUGGGGGACAACCAGCCGAAAGGUUGGCUAAUACCGCAUGAGUUCUACGGAAGAAAGAGGGGGACCCGCAAGGGCCUCUCGCGAGCGGAGCGGCCGAUGACUGAUUAGCCUGUUGGUGAGGUAACGGCUCACCAAAGCAACGAUCAGUAGCUGGUCUGAGAGGACGACCAGCCACACUGGGACUGAGACACGGCCCAGACUCCUACGGGAGGCAGCAGUGGGGAAUUUUGGACAAUGGGCGCAAGCCUGAUCCAGCUAUUCCGCGUGUGGGAUGAAGGCCCUCGGGUUGUAAACCACUUUUGUAGAGAACGAAAAGACACCUUUUAAUAAAGGGUGUUGCUGACGGUACUCUAAGAAUAAGCACCGGCUAACUACGUGCCAGCAGCCGCGGUAAUACGUAGGGUGCGAGCGUUAAUCGGAAUUACUGGGCGUAAAGGGUGCGCAGGCGGUUGAGUAAGACAGAUGUGAAAUCCCCGAGCUUAACUCGGGAAUGGCAUAUGUGACUGCUCGACUAGAGUGUGUCAGAGGGAGGUGGAAUUCCACGUGUAGCAGUGAAAUGCGUAGAUAUGUGGAAGAACACCGAUGGCGAAGGCAGCCUCCUGGGACAUAACUGACGCUCAGGCACGAAAGCGUGGGGAGCAAACAGGAUUAGAUACCCUGGUAGUCCACGCCCU